ACCGAAUUAAAACGUUCCACUUCAAUUUAUUUGCAUUUAUAGCGAUCCCAGCUUCCUCAACCAAAUUAAAACGUUGCAUUAGGAGGUGUCUGCUUCAUGCAAAAGGUCUUGAGUUCAUAUUGACGACAAGUAAUUCUUCAUUACAGACGUUUAUUUACAAACAGAACUGACAGACUUCACAGACUCAACAACUGACUCUCAGAGCUAACCGCACUGCAUAUCCGAACUGGCAACUGACAACUCCUAGGUGUAUUAAUAUCUUUCCAAACAAUGAGAGUCUUUGACAAUGUUUUGUUUACAA